CUACGGGAUGCUCCAGUGAGGAAUAUUGCACAAUGGGGGGAACCCUGAUGCAGCAACGCCGCGUGGAGGAUGACGCAUUUCGGUGUGUAAACUCCUUUUAUAUGUCAAGAAAAUGACGGUAGCAUAUGAAUAAGCACCGGCUAACUCCGUGCCAGCAGGCCGCGGUAAUACGGAGGGUGCAAGCGUUACUCGGAAUCACUGGGCGUAAAGGACGCGUAGGCGGGUUGGAAAGUCAGGUGUGAAAUCCUACAGCUUAACUGUAGAACUGCACUUGAAACUUCUAAUCUAGAGUAUGGGAGGGGGAGAUGGAAUUAGUGGUGUAGGGGUAAAAUCCGUAGGUAUCACUAGGAAUACCUAAAGCGAAGGCGAUCUCCUGGAACAUUACUGACGCUAAGGCGUGAAAGCGUGGGGAGCAAACAGGAUUAGAUACCCGAGUAGUC
rnacentral:rRNA from 1 species